AUUAAACGCUGGCGGCAUGCCUUACACAUGCAAGUCGAACGGCAGCACGGGGGCAACCCUGGUGGCGAGUGGCGGACGGGUGAGUAAAGCAUCGGAACGUAUCCUGGAGUGGGGGGAUAACGUAGCGAAAGUUACGCUAAUACCGCAUAUUCUGUGAGCAGGAAAGCAGGGGAUCGCAAGACCUUGCGCUCUGGGAGCGGCCGAUGUCGGAUUAGCUAGUUGGUGGGGUAAAGGCCUACCAAGGCGACGAUCCGUAGCGGGUCUGAGAGGAUGAUCCGCCACACUGGGACUGAGACACGGCCCAGACUCCUACGGGAGGCAGCAGUGGGGAAUUUUGGACAAUGGGCGGAAGCCUGAUCCAGCCAUGCCGCGUGAGUGAAGAAGGCCUUC
rnacentral:rRNA from 1 species